UUAAAACACUACUAAACAUUCAGAGUUUGGUCUGUUCCUCCUCCCUCUGUCUUCCCUGCGCAUGCGCCUCCUUGCCCGACACUCAGCCACGCACGCGCUCGGCUCGUUCACGCGCAGCUGCAUGUUGUUGCCAGAGAGCAGAUGGAGAGAGAGAAGAAGAGUUAGUUUGUGUCCACAGCAGCAGCAGCAGAAGAAGAGACGGAUCUUUAACAGAAGAGAGAAACAGAAGAAGAAGUUGGAGGACUUGUGUUAAAACUUAUUUCUGUGUAAACUCUGCGCAUGCGCCGCGUGCAGCUGUUUGCGUCGCUCUCUCCGGGUAUAACGGACCGAUUGUGUCACCGGGCUCGGUGGUGACGUCACCGACCGCUGAUCCGGAGCACCGUGGUUGAAGCGCGCUCCCGCCGAGCACAUGCACCUGUCCUCAAGUCUAGUCCACUACAGACAGGGACUGAAACCAGCCUAGUCCACUACAGACAGGGACUGGAACCAGCCUGGUCCACUACAGACAGGGACUGGAACCAGCCCUGUAGACCUGUUAAAGGGUCCAGACCACCAGCUCUGUUAGUGACCCGUCACAGUCUCCGGGGGAAACAGCGUUACCAUGGGGACGUAAACAGACCCGGGCCAGAACCGGUUCAGGCAGUCUGUCUGUGUGUGUGUGUGUGUGUCUGUGUGUGUGUGUGUGUGUGUGUGUCUGUG